rnacentral:rRNA from 1 species
GAGUUUGAUCGUGGCUCAGGACGAACGCUGGCGGCGUGCUUAACGCAUGCAAGUCGAGCGGUAAGGCCUUUCGGGGUACACGAGCGGCGAACGGGUGAGUAACACGUGGGUGAUCUGCCCUGCACUUCGGGAUAAGCCUGGGGAAACUGGGUCUAAUACCGGAUAUGACCUCCUAUCGCAUGGUGGGUGGUGGAAAGAUUUAUCGGUGCAGGAUGGGCCCGCGGCCUAUCAGCUUGUUGGUGGGGUAAUGGCCUACCAAGGCGACGACGGGUAGCCGACCUGAGAGGGUGACCGGCCACACUGGGACUGAGACACGGCCCAGACUCCUACGGGAGGCAGCAGUGGGGAAUAUUGCACAAUGGGCGAAAGCCUGAUGCAGCGACGCCGCGUGAGGGAUGACGGCC